GCGCUGGCUUCAGCAGCAUGUGUACUAAAAUUGGAGCAGACACAGAAGGUGAGCAUGGUCCCUCCACGAGGAUAACACACAAAUUCCUCUUUUUUUUUUU
rnacentral:snRNA from 1 species